AACGCAUAUUGCACCCGAUCUAGGUCGGGUCUGCCUGGCUGAGUAUCAGUACGGACCCAAAGAACAACUAAAGGUGUGCUUCUUUGGUGCUCGCAUUCUGUUAAGAAGGCGGAUGUGAGUGAUCCAGCGAUUUUGCUAUUGCUGGUCACUUGAAAUGAUCAAUCGAGUCGUCGUCCAAUUCAUCAUUCACGGCAAUCUUUGUGAUCGUCCCAGUUGGGAUGUCCUUUUGCCGUCUGAUUGACACCGCGGCGAACCGAACACCGUGCAAACUACUCUUACUCCAUCCUUGAUCUCAGAUUAGGCAGGAUGACCCGCUGAACUUAA
rnacentral:misc_RNA from 1 species